UUUAUGGAGAGUUUGAUCCUGGCUCAGAGUGAACGCUGGCGGCGUGCCUAAUACAUGCAAGUCGAACGAUGAAGCUUCUAGCUUGCUAGAGUGCUGAUUAGUGGCGCACGGGUGAGUAACGCAUAGGUCAUGUGCCUCUUAGUUUGGGAUAGCCAUUGGAAACGAUGAUUAAUACCAGAUACUCCCUACGGGGGAAAGAUUUAUCGCUAAGAGAUCAGCCUAUGUCCUAUCAGCUUGUUGGUAAGGUAAUGGCUUACCAAGGCUAUGACGGGUAUCCGGCCUGAGAGGGUGAACGGACACACUGGAACUGAGACACGGUCCAGACUCCUACGGGAGGCAGCAGUAGGGAAUAUUGCUCAAUGGGGGAAACCCUGAAGCAGCAACGCCGCGUGGAGGAUGAAGGUUUUAGGAUUGUAAACUCCUUUUGUUAGAGAAGAUAAUGACGGUAUCUAACGAAUAAGCACCGGCUAACUCCGUGCCAGCAGCCGCGGUAAUACGGAGGGUGCAAGCGUUACUCGGAAUCACUGGGCGUAAAGAGCGCGUAGGCGGGAUAGUCAGUCAGGUGUGAAAUCCUAUGGCUUAACCAUAGAACUGCAUUUGAAACUACUAUUCUAGAGUGUGGGAGAGGUAGGUGGAAUUCUUGGUGUAGGGGUAAAAUCCGUAGAGAUCAAGAGGAAUACUCAUUGCGAAGGCGACCUGCUGGAACAUUACUGACGCUGAUUGCGCGAAAGCGUGGGGAGCAAACAGGAUUAGAUACCCUGGUAGUCCACGCCCUAAACGAUGGAUGCUAGUUGUUGGAGGGCUUAGUCUCUCCAGUAAUGCAGCUAACGCAUUAAGCAUCCCGCCUGGGGAGUACGGUCGCAAGAUUAAAACUCAAAGGAAUAGACGGGGACCCGCACAAGCGGUGGAGCAUGUGGUUUAAUUCGAAGAUACACGAAGAACCUUACCUAGGCUUGACAUUGAGAGAAUCCGCUAGAAAUAGUGGAGUGUCUAGCUUGCUAGACCUUGAAAACAGGUGCUGCACGGCUGUCGUCAGCUCGUGUCGUGAGAUGUUGGGUUAAGUCCCGCAACGAGCGCAACCCCCUUUCUUAGUUGCUAACAGGUUAUGCUGAGAACUCUAAGGAUACUGCCUCCGUAAGGAGGAGGAAGGUGGGGACGACGUCAAGUCAUCAUGGCCCUUACGCCUAGGGCUACACACGUGCUACAAUGGGGUGCACAAAGAGAAGCAAUACUGUGAAGUGGAGCCAAUCUUCAAAACACCUCUCAGUUCGGAUUGUAGGCUGCAACUCGCCUGCAUGAAGCUGGAAUCGCUAGUAAUCGCAAAUCAGCCAUGUUGCGGUGAAUACGUUCCCGGGUCUUGUACUCACCGCCCGUCACACCAUGGGAGUUGUGUUUGCCUUAAGUCAGGAUGCUAAAUUGGCUACUGCCCACGGCACACACAGCGACUGGGGUGAAGUCGUAACAAGGUAACCGUAGGUGAACCUGCGGUUGGAUCACCUCCUUUCUAGA
rnacentral:rRNA from 1 species